rnacentral:rRNA from 1 species
UACGGAGGGGGCAAGCGUUGUUCGGAAUUACUGGGCGUAAAGGGCUCGUAGGCGGCCAACUAAGUCGGAUGUGAAAUCCCCAGGCUCAACCUGGGAACUGCAUCCGAUACUGGAUGGCUUGAAUCCGGGAGAGGGAUGCAGAAUUCCAGGUGUAGCGGUGAAAUGCGUAGAUAUCAGGAGGAACACCUAUUGCGAAGGCAGCUCGCUGGGACGUUACUGACGCUGAGACGCGAAAGCGUGGGGAGCAAACAGG